AGUGAACGCUGGCGGUAGGCCUAACACAUGCAAGUCGAACGGCAGCACAGUAAGCGCUUGCUCUUACGGGUGGCGAGUGGCGGACGGGUGAGACAUACAUCAGAAACUAAUUUUUCGUGGGUGACAACGGAGGGCAACUUACGCUAAUACCUCAUACGACCUACGGGUGAAAGCAGUAGUGCUUCGCGCCUUUCGCGAUUCAAUGAGACGAUGUCGGAUUAGCUAGUUGGCGGGGUAAAGGCCCACCAAGGCGACGAUCCGUAGCUGGCCUGAGAGGAUGAUCGGCCACACUGGAACUGAGACACGGUCCAGACUCCUACGGGAGGCAGCAGUAGGGAAUAUUGGACAAUGGGCGCAAGCCUGAUGCAGCAAUACCGCGUGGGUGAAGAAGGCCUUCGGGUUGUAAAGCUCUGUUGUUGGGGAAGAAAAGCAGCGGAUGAAAACCCGGAUGUUCUGACGGUACCUAAAGAAUAAGCACCGGCUAACUACGUG
rnacentral:rRNA from 1 species